AAUAUGGGUUUCCGCGUCCAACGUUUGAUCGUCCGUCUUAUUUAAAAAAAUAUGAAAAAAAAAUUAAAAAGAUAAGUCACGCAUAAAAUAUUAAUCAUGUUUUAUCGUCUAACAAUAAUAAAAAUAUUAAUUAUAAAAAAUUUCAUAUAAGACGGACGGUUAAACGUUGAGAUGGAGUAU
rnacentral:pre_miRNA from 1 species